GGCAAGAUGGCCGAGUGGUCUAAGGCGGAUGACUCAAGCUAUCCGCUUGCGCGGCUUCCGCGUUCCUCUCCUGCAAAGGGCGUGGGUUCGAAUCCCACUCUUGUCA